rnacentral:rRNA from 1 species
AGUCAUAUGCUUGUCUCAAAGAUUAAGCCAUGCAUGUCUCAGUAUAACCUUUUCCAUGGGAAAACUGCGAAUGGCUCAUUAAAACAGUUAUAGUCCACUUGAUGUUGGCUGUUAUACGGAUAACUGUGCUAAUUGUAGAGCUAAUACGUGCGUACAAACCCGACUUCUCGGAAGGGUUGUAUUUAUUAGAUACAGAACCAAACGGGGCAACCCGGCAUUGGAUGAUUCACAAUAAAUGAAUGAAGCGUAUGACUUGUGUCGGCGCUGUAUCAUUCGAGUUUCUGACCUAUCAGGUUUCGAUGGUGGGGUAUUGGCCCACCAUGCCAUUGACGGGUAACGG